GCAUGCUAACCAUGCUAACCUCUAGCUCAUCAAGCAGGUGUUCGGGUGGUUAGUAACAGCGCGACGAGUAAACUUUCCGUGGCUCAGCGCUGCAAAAUGACUUCGGGUGCCCGAAGAGUAAGUGGAUCAGAGUUUAAGUAAGUUUAACACCAAGAAUUCAACUCUUCUCAAUUUGCUGUGUAGCGUGCUGACAGAGAGCCACUGCCGUCCAGUGUACUAGUGCCACCAGGAAUCUGGCAUUUCAACCUUUACACUCAUUUGAGUUUUGCUGCCUUCAAUUAGAGGUUGCGGUUAUGGCAUGAAAAGUUGUGUAUAAAGGAUGCAUUCAAGUGAUCAACCAUACAUCCAGGGGACCGAUUAUAAAUACUUUUACCCAUUAAACAUGACAAUGAAAACAUGAUUUCUCUGAGAAAAAACAACAAAAAUAAUGAGGUCUAAUAUAAAAAGAAAUGUAGAAAUAUAGAGCACAAAACUCAAAAUGAAGUGAACUAAGCAAUAAGGAAACUAAGGCCAGGACCUGCGUGACAAACAAGACACACAAGAGUUACAUAGACGUAGGACUAGUCCAAAACCGACACGGAGAAACUUGAUUGACAAUUAACAUUAAAUAACAAAUAUAAAGGAAAAGGAAAAACGUGUUUUCUUUUGUUUGUGUGGUUAAAUGGACGCCAUUGUUAGAUAAAAGCAUUUCAAUGAUUAAAAAAAAUAAAGACUUCCAUGUUCAUACACUCAGUGAACUAAAUGAGGAAAUGAAAGUGAAAGUGUACGAUUUGUAUUGUCAAGAAAGAAAGAAAGUCCCGGGAAUCGCCACACCCGUAGUUCCAGCCAUAUCGAAGUAACAGAGCAAACGAUAGAAACCACAGAGGACUCUCACAUGAUCAAAAAUGUCUCUGGUUGCAAAGGAUGUCACAAUUACAGCAACAGCGUUCACUUUUGCGGCGAAGGCUGUCACCAUAUCAACCCCUGCUUUGGUUGCAGUGGCAGUUAUCGUAGGUGUAGGUGUAGGUGCAGGCUACGUACUCUCCAAAUAUGUGAAACAGAAACGGUACUGAUGGGUGGAUUGCCUUUGGUCUCGUGUCUGUAAAGAAGAACCAGAAAUCAGUUCACAGUUCACGGGAAGGAAACAUAAUUAUGAGAGUUCCAAAGAUGGAAAAAUGUGAUUUUGUUGAUUUUAGCUGCAUUGUAGAAAAAAAAAAAAAAAAAAAAAAAAAAAAACAUAAAAAAUACAACUGCCUUUUCAUCUUUUAAUCAGACUAGCACAAUAAGCUUUAGAAAUCAGUCGAUUAUUAUUCAAGAGUUGUUUCUGGUUUAAUUACAGCAGGUAAUCACUUAUGUUAGCUGCACUGAACACAUUAUUGUGUAGGUGAAUAUAUUUAACCAGGUGAAAAUUGUUGGACAGAACAAGAGUUGUUAAUCUUUGUCAAUUUUUUCUUUCAUGACCAACUUCAAGUAAAAGAUACUAUACUUAAUCUUUGAUUGGAAUAAUUUGAUUGUUCUUCUAUGUGGAUAUCUUGGUAUAUACUACAUAUUUUGCAUAUUGUAACAUUAAAUUAUCAUCUCUACUUCUAUUUGCUGAUUAUAAACUGUUGUCUGUCUAUUAAACUUAAUGGUGAUCAAUAAUAUAUGUAUGGAUGUUUAUUAUAAACCUAUAAGAUGAGGCAGACUUCACAAGACUGGGCAGACUGGGCUGGUGGUCCGGUCCCCAUCUUUAAGAAAGGGGACCAGAGGGUGUGUUCCAACUAUAGGGGAAUCACAUUCCUCAGUGUCCCUGGGGAAAUCUAGGCCAAGGUGCUGGAAAAGAGGGUUCAAUCAGUACUUGAACCCUCUGGGUCAGCCUAUGGAACUGGCUGGGGAGAGGGCUGUCUGGACUUCACUGGUGAAGCUGCUAAAAACAAAUAAAUAAAGAGUCAUUGUUACUAUCACUUCAGAAGACAUCAGUUGUGACUUCUAGUCUCUUCCUGGGGACUUAACUUGAACCUAAAAAGGCUUCAAACUUAAAUGUAAUUGACCUGAAUUGCGAUAAUCUGCUUUAUAGCUUUACUAGAAAGACGAGUCUCUACAAUGUGACUGUAUAAAGUUUACACUGUAAACUGUGCUGUCCCCUGCUGUUCUCCAUCAGUUCUCUGGAAAAAGCAACACAACGUAAUCUGAGCCCAUACCUCAAAUCAGCAAUCUUAACAACAGACGUGAGACAGUCUGUGUGAGGAGGAGCAGGCAGGGUGAGGCAGGAAGAGGUAGAGAAAGGGACAGGGACAAGAGAGAGAAAAGGUGGUUAUGAAAUUGAAAUAAAGAAAAAGGAAAAACAUAUUGUUUUUUUUUUAUUUUUUUUAUUUGAUUAAAUGGGCCCUGUUGUUGGAUAAAGAGGACUUCAGCGACUAAGCACAAUAAAGACUUCUAUGUCUAUGCACUCAGUGAACUAAAUGGAAAAAAUGAAAGUGAAAAUGUACAACAUUUGUAUUCUCAAGGAGAAAAAAGAAAGAGGACCUAGGUUCAGUCACACCUGACAACCCAUCAUAGUUAAAGUCAUAUCAAAGGAUGAGAGCAGAGAUUCUGUAUAUGUUUUCUUUAUGCUGUAAACACCAAUAAAUCAACCAAUAUAAAAAAAGGAUCAGAGCAAACGAACCAGGAACAAUGAGAGGACUCUCACAUGAUAAAAAAUGUCUCUGUUUGCGUAAGUGGUUAUAGCGCUCGUUCUAUUUGGAUAGAUUUCUGAUGGAAAGAUCAGAGAGAAAGGAGACUAAAUCAGUAAUUAUCAGUUUUAAGAAACAUUGUCCACCUUGUGAGCAGCAUAAAACAACAGGAGGGUUGUAGCUUAUAUUGGAACGUUGUGCUAAAAUGGAUUCAAGAGCUCAUUUCUCUUUAAACUAGAUCAGCUUCUCAGACUUCUGAAUUCACCUGCAUGAAAACACUGAUUUUGAUUAAUUUAAGAAAAAACACAAGCUGAAUAUUAGAACAUUUUGUUGAAAUGUUUUUUCAUGUAAACUGAAAAUAAAAGAUACUAUGCUUAAUCUUUGAUUUGAUUAACAUGAAUGUUCUUCUAUGUGGAUAUCUUAGCACGCACUGUAUAAUUUGCAUAUGGUAACGUUAAAUUAUCAUCUCUACUUCUAUUUGCUGAUUAUAAACUGGUGUCUGUCUUUUAAACUGAAUGAUGGUCGAUAAUGUAUGUAUGGAUGUUUAUCAUAAACUUGAAGGAUAAGGCAGACUUCAGACUUUGUCCUGGAAGGAAAAAAGAACACCUGACGUGUCACAUGUUUACAGAAGGAUAAAUAGUGGGAAUAACUGUACCAGAGUAUCACUGGUCCUGAGUAAAACUGCUGAAUCUUCUUUCAAGAGGAUGAAUCUAAUUAACCUAAAAAAUCUGUUUUGGAGUUUUGGAGGCGGUGCGUCUGUGAAAGCAGCAAAUGUAGUAAUACCAAGUGAUACUUUGACCGUGGUAAUAAUAGCCUCUCUGGUCUUGUUUGGAUUCAUGCUGGUUAAAAAACCUUCUCAAGGUGAAUUCACCCAGACGGUUAUAGGAGUGAUUGCACUGAACGUCACUGAUGUGGUCAAAAUGGACCUGAGGCUUGUGUGUGGAUUCAAUGGUUUUGUGUUACUGACACUUUGCUACCUGUCUGUGAGGGAGGAUAGAAGGGGCGAAGACAAGAUGAAAGAUAACCAAUGACAACAAGCCCUUGAGCUUAGAAUGUGUUUUGAAGUUUGAAUUUGGCACACAAAACCAAAAAAAGUUCAUGACUCACUGUUGAACAUGUCUGUGGUUUGACAUAAAAGUUGUUCAGUGCACUCAGUGUACAGAAAGUAAAAGUAUUCUAAACAUGUCUUCAGUGUAGAACAGGUCCUCAACAUGGGGUCAGCAGAGGUACUGCAGGGGGGUCGCUAAAUCUUUGCUUGAUCAGACAUAUAUAAAAUGUUCCCCCACAGUUUUCCCCCACAAAUGAAUCCAAUAGAUGAACCCAACAUAUUCUCGUAAAGGGAUGAAUGGAGGCAGAAGACGUUAUCUUUCAGUCUGUACACUUUAUCUCUGCUGAGUCAAUCACGAAGCUGUACAUUCCCCGCAAUUGGCCAAGAGAGUCAAUCAUUUUCUUUAUCUGUCAGCUGUGUAUACCUGUUGGUCAUGCACGGUAGUUGCAGGGCCACCCUACUGUUGCACAUGUUUGAAAUUAAAAAUUUAAAAAUAAAAAAAAUAAUAUUUGAACCUGUGUGUUGCUUGAAUUGUUUAAUAUUGAAUGCAAAAUGAUGAUGAUAAUGUAUAUUUAUAAAUAGCACUAGGUUGAGUUUAACAUACAACACGUAUAGUAGGAAGGGGGUCACUUAAUCUCUGGGGUCCUUGGCCUGAAAAUGCUUCAAGACCGCUGGUGUAGAACAUUCAGACUCUUAAAUAAGAGAAUUAAAUAAGUUAAUUAAAUUAUACUGUCCAUAAAAGAAUAGUUUUCCACUCCAUUUUUUUUCUUUUAAAACAAAAAGUUUGCCUUUGACUUUGGUGUAGUUUUAAAGUGUUGCUCUGACUCAAAAGACGGUCCGUCCAAGAUAAAUAUUAAAGUUUGUCAAAUUUCGACAUUAAUUGACACAGGCGACAUAAACUGAAUGCAUUCAAAUAAAUUAGUAAAUUAUAUUAGCACCCAGAUAAGCUUACCGUGGCCUUUACUUGGAUCUAAGUUAGUGCUAGAACAAUC